rnacentral:lncRNA from 1 species
AAAUAACUCAUGCACUAAAGGAGUCAGAGUUCUGGAGGCUGGAAGUCCAAGAUCAAGGUGCUAUCAGGGUUGGUUUCGGCUGUGGCCUCUCUUCCUGGCUUGUAGACAGCUAUCUUCUCGCAGUGUCCUCACGUGGCCUCUUUGUGUGAAGGAAGCUGCUAAAGAAUGUGCUUGACUAAAACAAGGCAAUAAGCAAAAGGAAGUCAUAGCAUCCAGAAAAUGGGAUCCAUCAUGCGCACAAAGAAAAGGUGAAGAAAAUUUCCAGGAUGUUCAGAACCCACCAAAAACGAAAGAUUCUGGUCCAGAUCAGAAGAGAGGGAAACACUCUGAAAAAGUCCCUCAAAUACAAAAUUAAACAGAGUUUAAAUGAUGUGCUUGACCACAAUAAAAGGCUUCUUGCUCUGUA